rnacentral:tRNA from 1 species
AGAAGUGUAGUCUAACCCAAGACAGUUGAUUUCGGCUCAACAAACCAUAGAUUGUCCCUAUGCCCUUCUC